rnacentral:lncRNA from 12 species
UCUGAGCAAGAAGUCAGAGAGCUGUGCUCCCGAUGGCCUGAGCGCAGCAGCGACAAUUAUGCUGUGACUACCUGUGGGGGCCACGUGGCAAGGAACUGCGGACAGCCUCCAGGAACAGAGAGGGGUCGCUGGCCUACAACCAGCAAGAAAACAGGGACCUCAGUCUCUAGCAGAAAGGAAAUGCAUUCCGUCAACAACACACGAGCUUGGAAGAGGACGCUGGGGCUUAGAUGAGCUAGUAGCCCCCGCCAACACCUUCAUUUCAGCCUGGAGAGAUCCUGAACAGAGACCCCACCCAAGCAUGAGCUAAAGGCCUGUGACAUAAUACAUCUCUCUUGUUUAAUGGCACCAAGUUUAUGGUAAUUUGUUUUAUGUAGCUAUAGAAGAUGAAUAUAAAUAUACAUAUAUUUUCUAGAAGCAUGUAUUGCACAAUAUAUUGCAUCAGCAUAAAGUGUAAGAGGCCUUUUCAAAGAGAGCCAAAAAAACAGAGGCUUCGAGAACAUUGGAGCUUGUUGCCCUCACCCUCCGGAAUCCUGAGUGAGCAGUGCAGGUCCAGGGCCGCUUUGCUCUGCACCGGCAUUCGGGUGCUUGUGUCGCCCUGGCGAUCCCCCAGAAAGAGCCUUGUCCUCAUCAGCAGGAUCAAAGGCUCUAAGUUGAUGACACCACCAGGCCUCCAGGAAAAGUCAGUCUUUUGAUAGGAUUGUUAUUGGUCUGCAAAAGUUCUAGGAUUCUGAUGUCAUCUUUUAUAAAGGUACACGAAACAUGUCCCCAAAUAAGCCCCUUCUCUUAUCCUGUUCUCUGCUCCCACAGCAAACAGGCCAUGUAGGUCUUAGCAACUUUAUUUAUUUAUUUACUUACUUAUUUGACAGAGAGAGAGCGCAAGCCGGAGGAACAGCAGAGGGAGAGGGAGAAGCAGGCUCCCCGACUGAGCAGGGAGCCUGACGCAGGACUGGAUCUCAGGACCUCAGAAUCCUGACCUGAGCCAAAGGCAGACACUUAAUUGACUGAGCCAGCCAGUUGCCCCACAACAUUUUUUUUAAAAAAGAUUUUUAUAUGUAUUCUUUUGAGAGAGUGAGUGAGCGAGAGCACAAGCAGGGCAGAGGGCUAGAGGGAGAGGGAGAGGGAGAAGCAGACUUCCUGCUGAGCUGGGUGCUUGACGUGAGACUCGAUCCCAGGACCCUGGGUUCACGACCUGAGCUGGAGGCAGACGCUUAACUGAUUGGGCCACCCAGGCGCCCCUUUAGCAAUGUCUGAAUAGCAGCAUUUAGUCUUUUGUUUUCUUCCAAGAAUAUUUCUCAAGCGGCAGAAUCCAUUUCAUUUCAAGUUAACUCAUCCCAAUCAGUGGUCCAAAUCUUCAUACGCUCAAUUCAAUCUGUGCAGAGGCAGAAAGCUGGACUUUGUAAUUCCUGACUAGGGCAGUCUUAUAUGCAAGGGGAGAUGGUGAACCUAUGGGAUAACUCAAAGUAUGGUGGAUCUGCUGGCCAGCAAACCUAAGAAGGGGGCUGUGUAUGGCAGGAUAAAGAAGAAGGGAGGAAGGAGUAUGACCCCUGUUCCCAUCUCUUUCCCAGCAUUUCUUAAUUCCAAGGGCAAGGGAUGGACCUGAGCUUUAUUAAAAUAUUAGGUAAGCAUCCUGGUGAGGCUAUGGCCACCAGCAGUGCUAGGUCUCUACUUAACCAGAUACAUGGGAGGAAGAAA